rfam:Poecilia formosa, whole genome shotgun sequence.
GUUAAUGUGGUCGAGAGGUUAAGAUGAUGGAUUUGAAAUCUAUUGGGGUCUCCCUACAAAGGUUUGAAUCCUACCAACAAUG